rnacentral:tRNA from 2 species
GAUAGGAUGGCUGAAGUUUAGGCUAUAAAUUGUAAAUUUAUAUAUGGUAUAAUAUUAUCUCCUUUCA